UUCACCAUCAGAGUCUCUGUAUUUUCUCUUUUUUUCUUUAUGAACAUUAAAAGCAUUGCAACACAUUUUAUCAAGUUUUUUCCAUUUCAACAUAGCUGAGACAUGAGUGACCUGAGAGUGUUUAAAUUACAUGAAAUACAUCUUUAACUGGCAACACGUUCAUGGUACUUUACUUUACUUUACGAUGUUCUUUCAAACAUAUGAACAGUACAGGUAGUCAAACACUUUAUACACCCUUUUUACCCAUUUAGAAUAUUCUUUAGAAGUGUUUCUUUAAAGUUUCAGAAAACUCGUAACAGUUCAAUUUAGACAAAUAAUCAUUUUAUAGAUACAUUUUAUAUACUCACAUAAUGUGAACAUGACUUAAUGAACUGUUACAAUUGAUUUGAUGUACACAUUUUAACUGAUAAGCUCUUCGGGAUGUUAUCUGCAUUUUUUUUAAAUACAGGAAAGUAUAUGAAACUUAAUCAACUAUUUAACUUUCAGAACACAUAUUUGUAACUGAUACCGUUUUCUUUUUUGUCACAUUGAUCACAAAUGUGUUAUUUUUGUCUUUUGCUCAAAUACAUUACAUUGCAGUCAUUGACUACGAGAACACGUUGUCUCCAUCAUUAGCAUGGAAUGUGUGAUUAGCACAUGCUUAACUCGAUACAAACUUUUAAAUAUCCGAAAACAACAACAUAUUGAUCCUUAAAAGGAUAAAAUUUGCAUUUCUCAUAAACGUCUACACAUUAGGAAGGCAUUCUUUUGACAUUUUCAAGAGUGCUAUACCUGAUGAGGGGAGAUGAAUAGUUAAUGAAACACAGGACACGGAGCUGCUGCUUCACCAUCAGAGUCUCUGUAUUUUCUGAGCAGCGCGCCCCCUCCCCAAACAGGUGAACACUUCCCAGGGAAAACCAAUCAAGCAAUCAGUGAAUCAUUCAAAGCCGAGCAGGGAACAUUAAUCAUCACAGAUAAGACCCUAUAAAAUGCAUUCAGAACAACAUACAUUCACUAACAAAAGUCAACACUGUGUUUCCUUCAGACAGAUGGAGCCAAUUAUUCACUGAGUUUGGAUCCAGAGUCAACAGAACUGCUGCAGUUUGAAACAUAUUUAUCUACAUCUUCAAAUGAGAGAGGAGAGCUGCCAGUGAAGACAUCUGUAGAUCCAGACAGAGAGACAGACGAAACUCUACAAACACAAAGACAGGAUCAGCAUAUUAGAAUCACUUCUGAAGUAUCUGUGACACUGACUGGAGUAGUCUAAUGAUGCUGAAAAUUUUGCUGAAAGCUGAAAAGCUGAAAGAUUUGAUCACAGCAAUAAAUUACAUUCUAAAUAUGUUAAAAAAACUCAUCUGUUUAAGUAAAAUUUAAUUCAUGUAUAAAUGCCAAGUUUAGGUUCUAAUUAUUGUUUCUUAUAGCCUAUAUUGUUAAACAUAAAAAUGGCGUG